rnacentral:rRNA from 1 species
UACGGGGGGGCAAGCGUUGUUCGGAAUUACUGGGCGUAAAGGGCUUGUAGGUGGCCAACUAAGUCAGACGUGAAAUCCCUCGGCUUAACCGGGAACUGCGUCUGAUACUGGAUGGCUUGAGUUUGGGAGAGGGAUGCGGAAUUCCAGGUGUAGCGGUGAAAUGCGUAGAUAUCUGGAGGAACACCGGUGGCGAAGGCGGCAUCCUGGACCAAUACUGACACUGAAAAGCGAAAGCCAGGGGAGCAAACGGG